UUUCUUGCUUCCUUCUCCCUCUUGCUCCUGGCGUAGCUCGUGGAGAAGAGGAAGAGGCGGAGCAGCAGCCAACGCUGUGCUGUUCCUUAGAACUGUCCUCCUCUCUGCACAACACAGAUGGUUAUUAUGGAGCUGCACAUAAAUUGAUUAUGUUGGAAAUUAGCUGUUGCUGUCAAAGGCAGCCGCCAACCUGUCCCAGUGUGUCCCUGUGCCCGCUGAUGCAUAGGAUCCAGCUGAUGGACCAGAUGUUUGCACACUGCGCCGCUCCUUUUAAGGUCGCCGCAAAAAGUGGAGCGAAGGCUUUCUAAUCUUUGCGGCUUUGUACUUUCAGUCGGAGCCCUCUUGACAUUUGGAGAGAGCGAGAUGGGAAUUUAUCAAUUGGUGAACUGGAUAUUUUGAUGUUGGACUGAUUCAGCAUGAUCUUAUUAUGUCCAAGCAGAGACGGGAUACUUUCUGGAUUGAUGUAUUCUACUGUCUUGGAACACAGUGGCUGAUGUCCCCCCCACCCCCCAUGUGAGCCGUGAUUGAUCGGUGACCAGUCGACAUUCAGAGAUCAACAAUGCAUGCCUAAAACUGCAUCUUUGGAAUGUUAUCAUGAUGUUGCUCCAGUUCGCCAUUGACCCUUAACAGGAUAAGCGUGCUUUUUGAGGAGGAAGCGCUUGGAAAUGACAUGAGUGAGCAGCACAACAUGGAGCGGUGCAGAUGAGGAGCGAGCAAGUAAAAAAAGCUGACAACGUUAAUAUGGAAGCAAACAGAGAGCGCAGCCUGGCAGUCACUCAAAUUAUGCACCUGCACCUUUAUAGGGAAAAAAAAAAAAACAGCCUCUCUGGUGUCUUGCCUCUCUCUUUUUUGUUUUCCUCAUUUUGCUCCUUCUCCCCACUUUGCUUGCCGUGUGCUGUGCUGUGGCUCGCGGCGUUGUCGUUUUCGAAGAGCUUUCUCUCCUUCGUGGUGUGUGCGUGUGUUAAUUGCAGCCAUCCUUCGGGAGGAGACAACGGUGAAGAUGAAGAAUACCUGUUUGAGAGCGGCCACAUUGGCUUCUGUUCUUCGAUUCACACUUGAACAGCAAGAGGAGAGA